UACGUAGGGUGCAAGCGUUAAUCGGAAUUACUGGGCGUAAAGCGUGCGCAGGCGGUUGUGCAAGACAGAUGUGAAAUCCCCGGGCUCAACCUGGGAACUGCAUUUGUGACUGCACGGCUGGAGUGCGGCAGAGGGGGAUGGAAUUCCGCGUGUAGCAGUGAAAUGCGUAGAUAUGUGGAGGAACACCGAUGGCGAAGGCAGCCUCCUGGGCUAACACUGACGCUCAUGCACGAAAGCGUGGGGAGCAAACAGG
rnacentral:rRNA from 1 species